CAGCCGCCACGGGAAUACGUAGGGGGCAAGCGUUAUCCGGAAUAACUGGGCGUAAAGGGUGCGCAGGUGGUUUAACAAGUUAGUGGUGAAAGGCAUAGGCUCAACCAAUGUAAGCCGUUAAAACUGUUUAACUUGAGUGCAGGAGAGGAAAGUGGAAUUCCUAGUGUAGCGGUGAAAUGCGUAGAUAUUAGGAGGAAUACCAGUGGCGAAGGCGACUUUCUGGACUGCAACUGACACUGAGGCACGAAAGCGUGGGGAGCAAACAGGAUUAGAGACCCGCGUAGUCCCUGUCUCUUAUACA
rnacentral:rRNA from 1 species